CAUGCAGGCGGUUCGGUAAGUCAGAUGUGAAAUCUUCGAGCUCAACUCGGAAAUUGCAUUUGAUACUGCCGAUCUUGAGUUCGGUAGAGGAAGGCGGAAUUCCUGGUGUAGCGGUGAAAUGCGUAGAUAUCAGGAGGAACACCGGUGGCGAAGGCGGCCUUCUGGUCCGAUACUGACGCUGAGAUGCGAAAGCGUGGGGAGCAAACA
rnacentral:rRNA from 1 species